rnacentral:rRNA from 1 species
CCUACGGGUGGCAGCAGUGAGGAAUAUUGGUCAAUGGGCGCGAGCCUGAACCAGCCAAGUAGCGUGAAGGAUGAAUGCCCUACGGGUUGUAAACUUCUUUUGUCAGGGAAUAAAGUGAGGCACGUGUGCCCUUUUGUAUGUACUUUAUGAAUAAGCAUCGGCUAACUCCGUGCCAGCAGCCGCGGUAAUACGGAGGAUCCGAGCGUUAUCCGGAUUUAUUGGGUUUAAAGGGAGCGUAGAUGGGGUGUUAAGUCAGUUGUGAAAGUUUGCGGCUCAACCGUAAAAUUGCAAUUGAUACUGGCAGUCUUGAGUACAGUUGAGGUAGGCGGAAUUCGUGGUGUAGCGGUGAAAUGCAUAGAUAUCACGAAGAACUCCGAUUGCGAAGGCAGCUUACUAAACUGACACUGACAUUGAUGCUCGAAAGUGUGGGUAUCAAACAGGAUUAGAUACCCCUGUAGUC